GGUAGAAGAAUGUCUGCGGCUAAGCCGAGGGCCACUUGAUAAGGGUUGUUGAUGGUAAAACCGGUAGAAGAAUGUCUGCGGCUAAGCCGAGGGCCACUUGAUAAGGGUUGUUGAUGGUAAAACAGAUUGGAGACUACAUAAGACUUUGACAGAUGGCGGGAAACCCUCAUGAACUGGAUAGAAGCCGGUAGAAGAAUGUCUGCGGCUAAGCCGAGGGCCACUUGAUAAGGGUUGUUGAUGGUAAAACAGGUAGAAGAAUGUCUGCGGCUAAGCCGAGGGCCACUUGAUAAGGGUUGUUGAUGGUAAAACAGGUAGAAGAAUGUCUGCGGCUAAGCCGAGGGCCACUUGAUAAGGGUUGUUGAUGGUAAAACAGGUAGAAGAAUGUCUGCGGCUAAGCCGAGGGCCACUUGAUAAGGGUUGUUGAUGGUAAAACAGGUAGAAGAAUGUCUGCGGCUAAGCCGAGGGCCACUUGAUAAGGGUUGUUGAUGGUAAAACAGGUAGAAGAAUGUCUGCGGCUAAGCCGAGGGCCACUUGAUAAGGGUUGUUGAUGGUAAAACAGGUAGAAGAAUGUCUGCGGCUAAGCCGAGGGCCACUUGAUAAGGGUUGUUGAUGGUAAAACAGGUAGAAGAAUGUCUGCGGCUAAGCCGAGGGCCACUUGAUAAGGGUUGUUGAUGGUAAAACAGGUAGAAGAAUGUCUGCGGCUAAGCCGAGGGCCACUUGAUAAGGGUUGUUGAUGGUAAAACAGGUA